rnacentral:rRNA from 1 species
CCUACGGGGGGCAGCAGUGGGGAAUAUUGCACAAUGGGGGAAACCCUGAUGCAGCGACGCCGCGUGAAGGAAGAAGGUUUUCGGAUCGUAAACUUCUAUCAGCAGGGAAGAGGAAAGUGACAGUACCUGACUAAGAAGCCCCGGCUAACUACGUGCCAGCAGCCGCGGUAAUACGUAGGGGGCUAGCGUUAUCCGGAAUUACUGGGCGUAAAGGGUGCGUAGGCGGCCUUGUAAGUCAGGUGUGAAAGGCUACGGCUCAACCGUAGUUAGCACUUGAAACUGCAGGGCUUGAGUGCAGGAGAGGAGAGUGGAAUUCCUAGUGUAGCGGUGAAAUGCGUAGACAUUAGGAGGAACGCCAGUGGCGAAGGCGACUCUCUGGACUGUAACUGACGCUGAGGCACGAAAGCGUGGGGAGCGAACAGGAUUAGAUACCCCGGUAGUC